GUUCGUAGUAGCGAUGAGUCCUAAUAAGGACCGGCUAACUCCGUGCCAGCAGCCGCGGUAAUACGGAAGGUGCAAGCGUUAAUCGGAAUUACUGGGCGUAAAGAGUGCGGAGGCGGUAAAGUAAGUUAUCGGGGAAAUCCCUGGGCUUAACCUAGGUGGGAAAGAUAAAACUGCUUGACUAGAGUGUGGUAGAGGAUAGUGGAAUUUCCGGUGUAGCGGUGAAAUGCGUAGAGAUCGGAAGGAACACCAGUGGCGAAGGCGGCUAUCUGGACCAACACUGACGCUGAGGCACGAAAGCGUGGGGAGCAAACAGGAUUAGAUACCCUGGUAGUCCACGCCGUAAACGAUGUCAACUUACUGUUGGUCACAUUAAAGUGAUUAGUAGUGUAGCAAACGCGAUAAGUUGACGUCGUUUACGGCG
rnacentral:rRNA from 1 species